GUGCCACCGCCGCGGUAAUACGUAGGGUGCGAGCGUUAAUCGGAAUUACUGGGCGUAAAGCGUGCGCAGGCGGUUGUGUAAGACAGGUGUGAAAUCCCCGGGCUUAACCUGGGAACUGCGCUUGUGACUGCACGGCUAGAGUACGGCAGAGGGGGGUGGAAUUCCACGUGUAGCAGUGAAAUGCGUAGAUAUGUGGAGGAACACCAAUGGCGAAGGCAGCCCCCUGGGCCGAUACUGACGCUCAUGCACGAAAGCGUGGGGAGCAAACAGG
rnacentral:rRNA from 1 species